UGCACCCUACGGGCGCAGCAGUGGGGAAUAUUGGGCAAUGGGGGAAACCCUGACCCAGCAACGCCGCGUGAAGGAAGAAGGCCUUCGGGUUGUAAACUUCUUUUACCAGGGACGAAGAACGUGACGGUACCUGGGAAAAAGCCACGGCUAACUACGUGCCAGCAGCCGCGGUAAUACGUAGGUGGCAAGCGUUGUCCGGAUUUACUGGGGGUAAAGGGCGUGUAGGCGGAGCUGCAAGUCAGAUGUGAAAUCCCGGGG
rnacentral:rRNA from 1 species